GUGGUGGCUUAGCGGCAGAGCACUCGCCUAGUAAGUGGGAGGCCCUGGGUUCGAUUCUCAGCACCACA
rnacentral:tRNA from 1 species